rnacentral:rRNA from 1 species
AUAGCAUAUCAAUAAGCGGAGGAAAAGAAACCAACCGGGAUUACCCUAGUAACGGCGAGUGAAGCGGUAAGAGCUCAAAUUUGAAAGCUGGCCCCUUCGGGGUCCGCAUUGUAAUUUGCAGAGGAUGCUUCGGGAGCGGUCCCCAUCUAAGUGCCCUGGAACGGGCCGUCAUAGAGGGUGAGAAUCCCGUAUGGGAUGGGGUGCCCGCGCCCGUGUGAAGCUCCUUCGACGAGUCGAGUUGUUUGGGAAUGCAGCUCUAAUUGGGUGGUAAAUUUCAUCUAAAGCUAAAUAUUGGCCGGAGACCGAUAGCGCACAAGUAGAGUGAUCGAAAGAUGAAAAGCACUUUGAAAAGAGAGUUAAAAAGCACGUGAAAUUGUUGAAAGGGAAGCGCUUGCGAUCAGACUCGCUCGCGGGGUUCAGCCGGCCUUCGGGCCGGUGUACUUCCCCGCGGGCGGGCCAGCGUCGGUUUGGGCGGCCGGUCAAAGGCCCCUGGAAUGUAACGCCUCUCGGGGCGUCUUAUAGCCAGGGGUGCCAUGCGGCCUGCCCGGACCGAGGAACGCGCUUCGGCUCGGACGCUGGCAUAAUGGUCGUAAGCGACCCGUCUUGAAACACGGACCAAGGAGUCUAACAUCUACGCGAGUGUUCGGGUGUCAAACCCGUGCGCGCAGUGAAAGCGAACGGAGGUGGGAACCCUUUGGGUGCACCAUCGACCGAUCCUGAUGUCUUCGGAUGGAUUUGAGUAAGAGCGUAGCUGUUGGGACCCGAAAGAUGGUGAACUAUGCCUGAAUAGGGCGAAGCCAGAGGAAACUCUGGUGGAGGCUCGCAGCGGUUCUGACGUGCAAAUCGAUCGUCAAAUUUGGGUAUAGGGGCGAAAGACUAAUCGAACCAUCUAGUAGCUGGUUCCUGCCGAU